CCGCCGGAGGACCCCAAACUAUACUUGAAUCAUUGGCCCUUCUGAGAAUAAGCUUCAAUAAUCAAAACUUUCAACAACGGAUCUCUUGGUUCUGGCAUCGAUGAA
rnacentral:misc_RNA from 1 species